CGGGUCUACGGGGCGCAGCAGUGGGGAAUAUUGGUCAAUGGGCGGGAGCCUGAACCAGCCAAGUCGCGUGAGGGAAGACGGUCCUAUGGAUUGUAAACCUCUUUAGGCGGGGAGCAAUGCCGGGCACGUGUGCCCGGAGGGAGAGUACCCGCAGAAUAAGCAUCGGCUAACUCCGUGCCAGCAGCCGCGGUAAUACGGAGGAUGUGAGCGUUAUCCGGAUUUAUUAGGUUUAAAGGGUGCGUAGGCGGAUUUUUAAGUCAGCGGUAAAAUGUCCGGGCUCAACCCGGGCCGGCCGUUGAAACUGG
rnacentral:rRNA from 1 species